rnacentral:lncRNA from 1 species
GCCCCCGCUAGCCGCCUCUCUUGCCGUCGCGCUAACCCUAGAUAGGUUGCCGACCGCUGUUAUUUUGCCUGCUUCACAGCCCUCCUUACAUUAUUAGGCGAAUACGUACUAUUGUUAGUCAUAGGGAUGACUCACCCUGUGAUCGGUGUUGGAGUUUAGGGACGCUUUGCCCUAACUGCCGCCGUCGUCGUGUUGUGCCUUCCGAAAAACAUAACUUGAGAUAUCUUCGGUAAAAUAGGCAUAACUUUUCGCUCGUUUAUCAGAAAAAUCUGAAAUUUUUAUAGCAGUUUCUUGACACCAUUUGGACCCGACUCAAACUUGACUUCGCCCUGUUUGGUUUCGUCAAAAUUGCCAAAAAAAUCAGGAAAAUAAAGAAAAAAAUUGACAAGGGUUUUGCACGCUUUGAGAGAACUUGCUGAAAUUUCUGUAGACCACAUCUGACAUCAGUUGUAGUUACCAAUUUUUGUGGUUACAUCUUUUGUGAUCCUUGUUCAGAGAAAAAUAUAAAAAAUAGUGAAAGAAAAAUCUUGAUUCGUACUAGUACCUUUUGGGAAAAUCUGGGAAAAAUCAAGAUAAAGGAAAAAUCUGCUCUAUUGCUUGUUCGCUG